AACGCGAAGAACCUUACCUACCCUUGACAUGUCCAGAAUCCUGCAGAGAUGCGGGAGUGCCCGAAAGGGAAUUGGAACACAGGUGCUGCAUGGCUGUCGUCAGCUCGUGUCGUGAGAUGUUGGGUUAAGUCCCGCAACGAGCGCAACCCUUAUCAUUAGUUGCUACGCAAGGGCACUCUAAUGAGACUGCCGGUGACAAACCGGAGGAAGGUGGGGAUGACGUCAAGUCCUCAUGGCCCUUAUGGGUAGGGCUUCACAUGUA
rnacentral:rRNA from 1 species